AUUGAACGCUGGCGGCAUGCCUUACACAUGCAAGUCGAACGGUAACAGGUCUUCGGAUGCUGACGAGUGGCGAACGGGUGAGUAAUACAUCGGAACGUGCCCGAUCGUGGGGGAUAACGAGGCGAAAGCUUUGCUAAUACCGCAUACGAUCUACGGAUGAAAGCGGGGGAUCUUCGGACCUCGCGCGGACGGAGCGGCCGAUGGCAGAUUAGGUAGUUGGUGGGAUAAAAGCUUACCAAGCCGACGAUCUGUAGCUGGUCUGAGAGGAUGAUCAGCCACACUGGGACUGAGGCACGGCCCAGACUCCUACGGGAGGCAGCAGUGGGGAAUUUUGGACAAUGGGCGAAAGCCUGAUCCAGCCAUGCCGCGUGCAGGAUGAAGGCCUUUGGGUUGUAAACUGCUUUUGUACGGAACGAAAAGCCUCUUUCUAAUAAAGAGGGGUCAUGACGGUACCGUAAGAAUAAGCACCGGCUAACUACGUG
rnacentral:rRNA from 1 species